rnacentral:rRNA from 1 species
AUUGAACGCUGGCGGCAUGCCUUACACAUGCAAGUCGAACGGCAGCGCGGACUUCGGUCUGGCGGCGAGUGGCGAACGGGUGAGUAAUACAUCGGAACGUACCCUGUUGUGGGGGGCAACUCGUCGAAAGAUUAGCUAAUACCGCAUACGAACUGAGGGUGAAAGGGGGGGACCGCAAGGCCUCACGCAGCAGGAACGGCCGAUGUCUGAUUAGCUAGUUGGUGGGGUAAAGGCCCACCAAGGCGACGAUCAGUAGCUGGUCUGAGAGGACGAUCAGCCACACUGGGACUGAGACACGGCCCAGACUCCUACGGGAGGCAGCAGUGGGGAAUUUUGGACAAUGGGGGCAACCCUGAUCCAGCAAUGCCGCGUGUGUGAAGAAGGCCUUCGGGUUGUAAAGCACUUUUGUCCGGAAAGAAAUCGCGCUGGUUAAUACCUGGCGUGGAUGACGGUACCGGAAGAAUAAGCACCGGCUAACUACGUGCCAGCCGCCGCCGUAA